UACGUAGGGUGCAAGCGUUAAUCGGAAUUACUGGGCGUAAAGCGUGCGCAGGCGGUUAUGUAAGACAGAUGUGAAAUGCCCGGGCUUAACCUGGGAACUGCAUUUGUGACUGCAUGGCUAGAGUUUGGCAGAGGGGGGUAGAAUUCCACGUGUAGCAGUGAAAUGCGUAGAUAUGUGGAGGAACACCGAUGGCGAAGGCA
rnacentral:rRNA from 1 species